GCUGUUUUAGUUUAAUUAGAAUUUUGUUUUGAUAGGGCAAAGGUUAAUAAUAGUU
rnacentral:tRNA from 1 species